rnacentral:rRNA from 1 species
UAACCUGCCCAAGAGAUCGGGAUAACACCUGGAAACAGAUGCUAAUACCGGAUAACAACAGAUGAUGCCUAUCAACUGUUUAAAAGAUGGUUCUGCUAUCACUCUUGGAUGGACCUGCGGUGCAUUAGCUAGUUGGUAGGGUAACGGCCUACCAAGGCGAUGAUGCAUAGCCGAGUUGAGAGACUGAUCGGCCACAUUGGGACUGAGACACGGCCCAAACUCCUACGGGAAGCAGCAGCG